rnacentral:rRNA from 1 species
GGCAGCAGUGGGGAAUAUUGGACAAUGGGCGAAAGCCUGAUCCAGCCAUGCCGCGUGUGUGAAGAAGGUCUUCGGAUUGUAAAGCACUUUAAGUUGGGAGGAAGGGCAGUAAGUUAAUACCUUGCUGUUUUGACGUUACUGACAGAAUAAGCACCGGCUAACUCUGUGCCAGCAGCCGCG